rnacentral:tRNA from 1 species
GACUUAAAAUCCGUCGAUUU